AGUGAACGCUGGCGGUAGGCCUAACACAUGCAAGUCGAACGGCAGCACAGUAAGAGCUUGCUCUUACGGGUGGCGAGUGGCGGACGGGUGAGGAAUACAUCGGAAUCUACUUUUUCGUGGGGGAUAACGUAGGGAAACUUACGCUAAUACCGCAUACGACCUACGGGUGAAAGCAGGGGAUCUUCGGACCUUGCGCGAUUGAAUGAGCCGAUGUCGGAUUAGCUAGUUGGCGGGGUAAAGGCCCACCAAGGCGACGAUCCGUAGCUGGUCUGAGAGGAUGAUCAGCCACACUGGAGCUGAGACACGGUCCAGAGUCCUACGGGAGGCAGCAGUGGGGAAUAUUGGACAAUGGGCGCAAGCCUGAUCCAGCCAUACCGCGUGGGUGAAGAAGGCCUUCGGGUUGUAAAGCCCUUUUGUUGGGAAAGAAAAGCAGCAGGUUAAUACCCCGCUGUUCUGACGGUACCCAAAGAAUAAGCACCGGCUAACUUCGUG
rnacentral:rRNA from 1 species